rnacentral:lncRNA from 1 species
UAAAGAUACAGCAAAAAGUGGGCUGGAAAAAGGGAUGAAGGAGGUUCCAGCUCAAGCUAGAGCAGCAGAAGGGGAGGGGGAGGGGUGGAUUUGAGAGACAUUGUGGAGAUACACUUAAAAGUUUGGAUGUAAGGCCAGGCACGGUGGCUCAUGCCUGUAAUUCCAGCACUUUGGGAGGCCGAGGAGGGUGGAUCACUUGAGGUCAGGAGUUCGAGACUAGCCUGACCAACAUGGUGAAACCCUUUCUCUAUUAAAAAUACAAAAUUAGCUGGACGUGGUGGCGCACGCCUGUAAUCCCAGCUACUUGGGAGGCUGAGGCAGGAGAAUUGUUUGAACCUGGGAGGCAGAAGUUGUAGUCAGCUGAGAUGGUGCCAUUGCACCCCAGCCUGGGAAAAUGAUAAUGCCCUUUCCUCCCUGAGCAUGGGAAGAAGAGGGUGGGGCAUGAAAUGUGAUGAGUUCAGUUUCGGAUGAUGUGAGGUCCCCUUCGCUCCCACCGUGUGGUAUAUGGGAGGCUUCCUGCAGUGUUGGGAGUGAAUAUCUGGGCAAGCUGAAGCAAAGCCAGUUCCUUCCAAGCUUUAUUUUUCAGCCUUCUAAUCCUUAGGCUCUUUGUCUUUUUGGAAAGUUAUUUAUUUCUUUGAGACUCUGAAGAAAACCAUGGGCUCUGGUUCAGAAGAAAGUGCAUGUACACACCACAGCAUAAAUUUCUACCUGUACUUUAUAGGACACUCAGCCCCAGAGAUCUGUCCAAGUCCAGAUGGGAGCCCUACUCUAACAGGCUCUUUCAGUGACCUCAAAACCUGCUCUGUUUCACUAUGUGCCAAUCUUCUGAGUCAGAGAUAAUUUGCUAAUUAUAAGUCACUUCCAAUUUUAGAAAUCCUCAUGACUUAUGGUCAAAUGCUAAUGUUCAUCACGCUGAUUGAUGAAUUGUAAUUUCUAAUGCCGGGUGUGAGAUGGCGGAGAAAAUGGAGACAAGAGGAGGUUCACUCUGAGACUUUGAUUCCUCUGGGCCAGCAUUCAUAUGGCUCAACCAGGAUGGAAUGCAG